UCAGAUGGCUUUAUUAUAUUAUCUUACCGACAGUCAAUUUAGUAUUACUAAGAGCGUUAUAAUGUACCUAUAUAAUAUAGAAAAUAAUGACGCGUUAUGUGGCAUUAAGGUUCACAGCACAAAAAAGGUGUAAAACUUAAAAAUACUCCGAUGUGCAUAGUCGACUCCCUCUUAAUGAUCUAUGAGAAAGAUAAGAAAGGCAUCACAUUUUCAGACACGUUCAGCUGUGGGAAUUUGUUUGACUAAUUCUAAAGAUUGGGAUGAGUUUAGAGAUCAUUGAUCAAAUAAAACAA